UACGAAGGGGGCUAGCGUUGCUCGGAAUCACUGGGCGUAAAGGGUGCGUAGGCGGGUCUUUAAGUCAGGGGUGAAAUCCUGGAGCUCAACUCCAGAACUGCCUUUGAUACUGAGGAUCUUGAGUCCGGGAGAGGUGAGUGGAACUGCGAGUGUAGAGGUGAAAUUCGUAGAUAUUCGCAAGAACACCAGUGGCGAAGGCGGCUUCCUGGACAGUGACUGACGCUGAGACGCGAAAGCGUGGGGAGCAAACAGG
rnacentral:rRNA from 1 species